CUGUUGAGUGACGAAACCUCCGUAGAUACAGUAACUUUCCAUCAUAACAAAUAUGGCGGACGUGUCAGUUACGGUACAUUUUGGAAAACUUCAAAUGAACGUUUUCUAUGUAAAUAGAUAUGAACGAAAGGCUGGACACAUUUGAGAACCUCACGAACAUUGAGGUUGUAAGAAGAUAUCGGUUAGAUAAGGAUGGCAUCGAUCGCCUUAAUCAAGAAUAUGGUGAACGUUUAUCACCUAAAACACUUGGGCCAAAGAAUGUCUCUUCUUUAGAGAAAAUCCUUAUCACCCUACGCUAUUUUGCUCCGGUGAUUUCCAGAUAAAUGAUGGUAACAUUCAUAAUUUGUCACAGCCAUCAGUGUCAAGGGCUGUGACACAGUUCACUGAGAUGCUCGCUAGCAGGGAAACUACAUCAAGAUUUAUAUUGUUCCCUCUAAAUAUGCAUGAUGUCAGCAGGGUAAAGACGGAUUUCCAAGGCAUAGCCAACUUUCCAAAUGUUGUUGGCGUUGUGGAUGGCACUCAAGUGCAGAUGUGCAGGAUGCAUAUGUCAAUAGAAUGGGAUAUCAUUCUAUCAAUACCCAGAGCUGACAUAAUAACAAGAUCAAAAGUCGAAAGGGGAAUAGGCCAACUGAAAAGAAGAUGGGGAGUGCUGCAUGGCGAAAUUCGUUUGAAACCUGAAAAGGCUUGCCACAGCUCUGCUAAUGACAUCACCUCGAGUUGGUCAUUGUCGUGACAGCUGCAGUGACACCUGACAAAGACAAUUCAUUUGUCAUACUUUGACAUAUGUACAAGACUGAGCAAAUAAAUGUACUUUGGGUUAAAGAGUUAAUUUAUUAUCAUUCAAUAAGUGGAGAAGUGUUAAUCUUUUUGAUAGCCUUUGUUGUAAAAAAAUAUUUUGUACAAAGUAACAAUGGUAUUUACUAUUUUUUUUACAAUGAGUUAUUCUUUUGUUUGAUUGAUAGGGGUAGAGUGGGGACGGGUACUGGUAAGACUGGUGUAGAUUUUUGUUUAAACAACCUCCUUCUAAAAUAAAUAUUUUUAUUAUUUAUAAGACCUAAUGGAUGUGUGGUUAAAAUUAUGUAACCACAUUUAUGAAUUCUUUUUAUGUCCCCCACUAUAGCAGUGGGGGACAUAAUUGUUUUUGCCCUGUCUGUUGGUCUGUCUGUCUGUUUGCGCCAACUUUAACAUUUUGCAAUAACUUUUGCUAUAUUGAAGAUAGUAACUUCAUAUUUGGCAUGCAUGUGUAUCUCAUGAAGCUGCACAUUUUGAGUGGUGAAAGGUCAAGGUCAUCCUUCACAAUGUCAAGGUCAUCCUACAAGGUCAAACAUCAUAUAGGGGGACAUUGUGUUUCACAAACACAUCUUGUUCAAACAUAAAUGAGUUUUAUUUUUGAUUUAUUUUAAACUUGUUACCUCAGUGUAAUGACUAUUCAAACAACUAAAUUUUUGAAGGUGUAUUGUUACACCAUUACCAAUAGGUUUUUACUUUACAACAAAAUUAAACAAAAGCAACAUUGUUAAAAAUGACAUGAUAGUCUCAAUUUUUUUGAUACUUUACAUGAAGAGGACUUUAUUUUCAAAGUGAUAUAUAAGGCAUAUGAACAAAAAAAUGAGUACUUAUUUUAGAGGUAUUAAAGCAUUAACAUUUAUAAUAUUCUUUUCCUUAUAUAUUUGUUUAUUUCUAUUCUCAUUUUGCAAUUAAUUGAUGACUACCCGAGGCUGUUUGCCAUAAACACUGUAUUAUGCAAUAAAGAAUAUGGUAUGGUACCUGUCAAUGCACGGUCUCUUAUGUAAUCUGUAUAAAUGAGACGGUGCUUGGCAACCAUGUUUAGCCACUUUUUUUCCAGCUUUUCUGCCGUCCUGUUUUUAGUUGCUUUUUGAUUGAACUUAGUUUAAACCAUCGCCCACAUCUGCUUGUUUGUUUGACUUGUUAUUCCAGUUAUUAAAUACAUAACUUGUAUUCAUUAAACAAUCACUUACUAUGUACAUAGCUUUGAUUGCUUUAUAUUGGCUUAACCGGUAUAUGUAGCAACUAGUGCAAAUAAAUUGGUGUCAA